UACGGAGGGGGCGAGCGUUAUUCGGAAUUAUUGGGCGUAAAGGGCGCGUAGGCGGCCUGAUAAGUCAAAGGUGAAAUCCCUCGGCUCAACUGAGGAAUUGCCUUUGAAACUGUCAGGCUUGAGGCCGGGAGGGGGUGGCGGAAUUCCCAGUGUAGCGGUGAAAUGCGUAGAGAUCGGGAGGAACACCCGUGGCGAAGGCGGCCAACUGGGCCGACCCUGACGCUGAGGCGCGAAGGCGUGGGGAGCGAACGGG
rnacentral:rRNA from 1 species